GGGGUUUAGGAUGGAGCCCCACCUCGGUCUCUGUGCUUGGCAGGGAGUCUGCAUGAGACUCUCUCCCUCUCCCCUCUCCCCUCUAAUAAAUAAAUCUUAAAAAAAAAAAAAAAAGAAUUGGGUCACUAGGAAAAUCAGCCUUCUUUCUCUUCUUAUUUUGGUUAGCCCUCCCCCCAAAGAUAAGGUCUUAUUUGAAAUGAGGUGGGCGAUGAGGAGAAACAGGGAUUAUAAAGAAAGGAAUAAACACAUCGUUCCAACAAAUGGGUCUUUCUUGUACUAAGCACCCAGCCCAGUAUCUGGCCCACGGGAAACACUGAAUGAAUGAAUGAAUGAUUUCUGAGUAGUGCAAUGUUUACACAGCACUUAUGGCUCUGAUGAAAUCAACUGAUAGCUGAACAGAUUAUUUUUAUUUUAAUGUAGGCUUUAAGAUUUUAUUUAUAGGAAUAAAUGUUAAUUACAUGACAUUUUUAAAAUGCUCAAAUGCACAAAAUAGGAAUUAAGCUCACUUGUAAUCCCAUCACUCAGAAUUCAUCACUGUUAAUAUUUUAUAGUCAUAUAUCAACAUAUUGUAUAAGUUAUUUAAAAGCAAAACUACUAAAUGAUAAAAGAGUAAGCUAGGUUAUAUGGUACAGAAUUCAUAUAGCCUCAAAGUGCUACAUCCUGCCUGGAUUCUAGGGUUUUUUUUUUUUUUUUUUUGCACAAUUUUGCUCAAGUUUUCUGUUGUGUUUCAGUUUGGCUUGUAGGUCCAACCUAGUCAGCUCUUGCUGCAAGAAUGCUGCAUAACAAAAAACCAGGUGACAGAGAACAGGACAGCAACCAGGUCUUCUGAUCCAUGUCGCAUACAAUGUGCAGGUACCAUCGCAGUUUCCCUGCCUCAAGAUGGGAACUAACACACAUGGAGCAGAAUGCAAAGCAUCCAACUCUUGAUUUUCAGCUCAGGUCUUGAUCCUUCAUUGGGAUCCGUGCUGGGCACAGAGUCUGUAUUAAUAAAGAAAAUCACUUCUCAGUGGUGGACGAUCCAGAAGCCACAAUGCAUGUCCUGGACCAAACCAAGACCAAUUAAUACCAUCUUAGGACAACAUAUUCUGAAUGGAUCCAUGAAGAAAACAACAUGUUUUGCCGUAUAUUUUCCAUUAUUUUCGGAAACCUUCUUUAAAGGAAGAUUUUAUUGGUAAGAAUUAGAAUUUUUAAACCCUAAAUUAAAUAUCUGGGGAUCCGUCCUCUCCAGUUCCAUCCUAUCAGCUGACA
rnacentral:lncRNA from 1 species